CGCUGUUAUCCUUGAGGACGCGCCACUCCUCCAAGAUCCGAAUCAACGGGCGUACCUAAUUCCCCUUUCCUGGCGACCGAGGCCGAGGCGUCUGCCACAGGGGCGACUCACGCUGGGAGCGGGAUUCGCUCGUCAGUUGCGCUCGGCCUCUUUCCCUCACAGUCGUUUCCGACGCCCGGACCUGCUGUGGGAGUAAAUGAAGACUACCUGGCAGGAAAUGUUUUUAUAGAUUUUAUAGAGAGGAAAGGGGAGAGACAUGGAAGUGAGAAACAUCGAUUAGCUGGCUCCUGUGUACAUGUCCUGACCAGGAAUUGAACCUGCAACCUACCUAACUUUAUCCUGCCAUAAGGAACGGAAUGACACCCUGCUCACUUGGAAUUUUGGACUGGAGGGGUUGUGGCCUUCCACAGAAUCUGCUAGAACUGGUCUGACAUGAAAAGAUUUAUUUAAAUAAAGAUACACAUGAAGAUUCUGCCACAGAAA